rnacentral:rRNA from 1 species
AGAGUUUGAUCAUGGCUCAGGAUGAACGCUAGCUACAGGCUUAACACAUGCAAGUCGAGGGGAAACGACAUCGAAAGCUUGCUUUUGAUGGGCGUCGACCGGCGUACGGGUGAGUAACGCGUAUCCAACCUGCCCACCACUUGGGGAUAACCUUGCGAAAGUAAGACUAAUACCCAAUGAUAUCUCUAGAAGACAUCUGAAAGAGAUUAAAGAUUUANCGGUGAUGGAUGGGGGAUGCGUCUGAUUAGCUUGUUGGCGGGGUAACGGCCCACCAAGGCAACGAUCAGUAGGGGUUCUGAGAGGAAGGUCCCCCACAUCGGAACUGAGACACGGUCCAAACUCCUACGGGAGGCAGCA